CCUACGGGAGGCAGCAGUGGGGAAUAUUGGGCAAUGGAGGAAACUCUGACCCAGCGACGCCGCGUGCGGGAUGAAGGCCUUCGGGUUGUAAACCGCUUUCAGCAGGGAAGAAGCGAAAGUGACGGUACCUGCAGAAGAAGCACCGGCUAACUAUGUGCCAGCAGCCGCGGUAAUACAUAGGGUGCAAGCGUUGUCCGGAAUUAUUGGGCGUAAAGAGCUCGUAGGUGGUUCGUCACGUCGGAUGUGAAAAUCUGGGGCUUAACCCCAGACCUGCAUUCGAUACGGGCGAGCUUGAGUAUGGUAGGGGAGUCUGGAAUUCCUGGUGUAGCGGUGGAAUGCGCAGAUAUCAGGAGGAACACCAAUGGCGAAGGCAGGACUCUGGGCCAUUACUGACACUGAGGAGCGAAAGCGUGGGGAGCGAACAGGAUUAGAUACCCUGGUAGUCCACGCCGUAAACGGUGGGCACUAGUUGUGGGGACCUUCCACGGUCUCUGCGACGCAGCUAACGCAUUAAGUGCCCCGCCUGGGGAGUACGAUCGCAAGNUUAAAACUCAAAUUGAAUUGACGG
rnacentral:rRNA from 1 species